AAAUGAAUUGACGGGGACCCGCACAAGCGGUGGAGCAUGUGGUUUAAUUCGAAGCAACGCGAAGAACCUUACCAGGGUUUGACAUACCGGUGAUACAUUUAGAGAUAAGUGGUUCCUUCGGGACACCGGAUACAGGUGGUGCAUGGUUGUCGUCAGCUCGUGUCGUGAGAUGUUGGGUUAAGUCCCGCAACGAGCGCAACCCUUAUCGUUAGUUACUAACAUUAAGUUGAGGACUUUAACGAGACUGCCAGUGAUAAACUGGAGGAAGGCGGGGAUGAGGUCAAAUCAUCAUGCCCCUUAUACCCUGGGCUACACACGUGCUACAAUGGUCGGUACAAAGAGAAGCGAAACGGUGACGUCAAGCAAACCUCAUAAAGCCGAUCUCAGUUCGGAUUGUAGUCUGCAACUCGACUACAUGAAGAUGGAAUCGCUAGUAAUCGCGGAUCAGAAUGCCGCGGUGAAUACGUUCCCGGGUCUUGUACACACCGCCCGU
rnacentral:rRNA from 1 species